rnacentral:rRNA from 1 species
GACGAACGCUGGCGGCGUGCUUAACACAUGCAAGUCGAACGGUAAGGCCCUUCGGGGUACACGAGUGGCGAACGGGUGAGUAACACGGGGGUGAUCUGCCCUGCACUUCGGGAUAAGCCUGGGAAACUGGGUCUAAUACCGGAUAGGACUCCUGGCUUCAUGGUUGGGGGUGGAAAGCUUUUGCGGUGUGGGAUGGGCCCGCGGCCUAUCAGCUUGUUGGUGGGGUAAUGGCCUACCAAGGCGACGACGGGUAGCCGGACUGAGAGGGUGACCGGUCACACUGGGACUGAGAUACGGCCCAGACUCCUACGGGAGGCAGCAGUGGGGAAUAUUGCACAAUGGGCGCAAGCCUGAUGCAGCGACGCCGCGUGAGGGAUGACGGCCUUCGGGUUGUAAACCUCUUUCAGCUAUGACGAAGCGCAAGUGACGGUAGUAGCAGAAGAAGGACCGGCCAACUACGUGCCAGCAGCCGCCGUAA